rnacentral:rRNA from 1 species
CCCUUAGAUGUUCUGGGCCGCACGCGUGCUACACUGAUGCAUUCAACGAGUCUAAAACCUGGUCUGAUAGGGCUGGGUAAUCUUUUGAAAGUGCAUCGUGAUUGGGAUAGAUGAUUGCAAUUCUUCAUCUUCAACGAGGAAUGCCUAGUAAACGCAAGUCAUCAGCUUGCAUUGAUUACGUCCCUGCCCUUUGUACACACCGCCCGUCGCUCCUACCGAUUGAAUGAUCCGAUGAAUAUCAUGGAUUGAGGAUGCAAGUAGGUUCACCUAUCUUCAUCUUCGAGAAGUGAAGUAAAUCUUAUCAUUUAGAGGAAGGAGAAGUCGUAACA